GGGGAUUUGGCUCAGUGGUAGAGCGUUUGCCUAGCAAGCGCAAGGCCCUGGGUUCGGUCCCCAGCUCUG
rnacentral:tRNA from 1 species